GAUUACGAGCUCGGCGUAGUCAAGGAUUUAUCUAACUAGGAUCCAUCAUUAACAACAACGUCAGCCAAGAGAUCCAGCGAAGAAUAAUUCUUGCCAACGGGUGCUACUUUGGGUUGGGUAGGCAAUUGAAAUACAGAGACCUCUCUCGAUGCACGAAAAAAACGCUCUGUCUUAUGGCGCUGAUUCCUGGAUAUUGACGAAGACUGGUGGCGGGUUAUUAGGAGCUUUCGAGAGCAAAAUCCUUCAAAGAUAUGUGGGCCAAUUUGCGUUAGUGAUGCAUACCGAACCAAGAGCUGUACACCGACAUCGAUGUAGUGAACCGCAUUAAAAUUCCGCGGCUUUGCUGGCUGGUCACGUUGAGCGAAUGGAUAAUAACGCUCCAGCAAAGAAGAUCUUCUACAUCAUCUACAUUGGAAAGACCAAGUCGAUGGCAAUCUGGUCGCCCUUGGCGUUUUUAACUGUCGUCAAUGCAUAGGUGAUUUGCGCAAUAGUUUGGCAGCAGCCAAUACCGACUAUCGGUACCAGGUGCCAGCUAAGUAAGUAGUUAUUCGAUGAUUAUCCAAUCCGAUGUCCUGUAUUAUUUUGACGAUUUCUGGUGUUGUUGGUGUUUUUUGGACGUUCGUGACGUGGAUGGUCUUGAAGGCUGGUACGACCACGUUUAAAUGUAGCAACCCAUCCUUCUACUGUACUAAUUGAUGGCUAAAGAUAAUCCCAUACAGAGAGAGACAAAGCGACGUUUUUAGAAGACCUCCCGGAGAUUGAUCACUAUUUUAAAGAAAACCAAAAAUAUCAAAAUGAUGAUGAUUAUGAUGAUGAAUAAUU